rnacentral:rRNA from 1 species
UACAGAGGUCUCAAGCGUUGUUCGGAUUCAUUGGGCGUAAAGGGCGCGUAGGUGGCCCGGUCAGUUCGUGGUGAAAGCGCGGGGCUCAACCCUGCGUCGGCCAUGAAUACUGCCGCGGCUGGAGCACUGUAGAGGCAGGCGGAAUUCCGGGUGUAGCGGUGGAAUGCGUAGAGAUCCGGAAGAACACCGGUGGCGAAGGCGGCCUGCUGGGCAGUUGCUGACACUGAGGCGCGACAGCGUGGGGAGCAAACAGGG